ensembl:snoRNA Gm23787 predicted gene, 23787
UGGACCAAUGAUGACAUUUACCAAGGUAUGAGAGACACGAUGACUAAUACCUGUCUGAAACUCUAAGGUCCAA